CCAAGCCUGGAGCACGCGAAGGACCGGCCGAGGGUGGGCAGGCCCUGCCCUGUGCUCACCAGCGGCUGGGCAGUCUGGGCGGAGGAGGGCACCAGCAGGAGAGAGGUCCUACAACUCGGAGUUCGGAGUUCGGCAGAAAGGCCUCCCCGGGAGGGGCUGGGAGCUCCCCAAGCAAGGGCAGGCACUUCCCCUCCCUUUGGCCACUUGGCCCUGGAGGGCUUCUUUGGAGAUAAAUCCCACAGAAGGGGAGGGGAAAUUAUGUAACUCAGGGAAAAACGCUAUGUGGAGUCCCAUGUACUCACAAUCUCUCUGGAGGAAACCAGGCUUCACCGUCGCCAGGUGACAACGAAAUGCCCUAACCCCGGGCUGCCAGCAGCACAGGGCCAUGGAAUCCAGGGAGAAACAAGCUCUGAGCUGAGGGGUGUGUAAAAUGGAGGUUCUGAUUCGGUAGCUCCGGGGCGGGCCUGAGCUCUGCAUUUCUGAUGCUCCCAGGGAUGCUGAUGUUGCUGGUCUGGGGACCGCUCUGAGGUCAGGGCUGUGGAGGGCAGGCACCAGGCUGAGCAGCGGCACUGCUGGUGCUGAGUCAGCUCUUCCCUCAGCCCCUGAGGUCUGGAGUGCUUCCCGUUGGGAGAUUUACUAGUUUUCUUGCUUGGCUACCCGGCAUUAACAGGCAUUGGAACCGUGGGAAGCGAGUCUCCUGCCCAUCUCUGUUCAUCCCGGACAGUUGCAAUUGUGGAGGGACCCUCCAAUGACAUUGGACACUGGAGGCCCAGAGAAGGAAGUCCUCUGAAGAGAAUAAAAUAGUCCACUUAAAGCAACACCAGAAGUCUCUUGGGAUAUGUGAGGACAAUAGCUCCCUGUGUGUGCUGGAGACCUUGGACAAAGUCCCCAAGUCAUAUCCAUACCUACAAGGUGUCAGAAGAAAAGAUUACAACACAUCCCGUUUAAAGCAUAACCCAGCUCAUCCUGACUGAUGCCACCAUUUCAAGAGAAGAGAAAUGAGACUGAGAAAGAUUAAGAUAUUUUCUUAAGAUUGGACACUGUGUUCCUACCCGUUGUGCUUGCCUUAUAGUCGAAAGAGAAUUUAUUUAAGCACAGAGAUCAAGCAAAAGUGGAGCACAGGACACACUUUCAAGUUGCCUUGGGGACUGCUCUGUAGAACAAAAAAGAAACUCAAGAUUUUAAGGAAUAAAAAGUACAAAUGAAGAGAAGGCAUGAUUACAAAAGUUGUUGAUCAGUAAUUCUCAUUGGUAGACAGAAAUACCAGUGGCUAAUGAUCGGCUAUACAUUGUUGAAUUAUAGGAUGUAUGGUAUUUAAAAUAUAUUUAUUUAAAACUAAAUUUUUUAAAGAUUUUUGAUGGGUUUAGGGGUACAGGUGCAGUUGUGUUACAUGGAUAUAUUGUGUAGAGGUGAAAUCUGAGCUUUUAAUGUACAACUACCCAAAUAAGAUACAUUGAACCCGAUAGGCAGCAUUUCACUUUCACCCUCAUUCUAUCCUCCCACCGUUUGGAGCCUCCAAUGUCUAUCAUUCAACUCAGUAAGUCCAUGUCCAUGGUUUAGCGCCCACGUAUAAGUGGGAAUGUGCAGUUCUUGAUUUUCUGUUUCUGAGUCAUUUCACUAAGGAUAAUGCCCUCCAGCUCCAUACACAUUGCUGCAAAAGUCAUAAUUUCAUUCACUUUUAUGGCUGAAUAGUAUUCCAUGGUAUAUAUCUACCAGAUUGUUUUAUUCAAUGAUGUGUUGAUGGACACUUAGGUUGAUUUCACAACUUUGCUAUUCUGAAUUGUGAUACAAU
rnacentral:lncRNA from 1 species